UCUCAGUGAGUUCUCAAGGUGUUCAUCAGAGAUUUUUGACCUAUAUUUUCCCUUCUUGCACUUCAUCCUUGAUGUUGAUUACAAAUAUACAUACUGCCAAAAAGCAAUGGCAUCAAUAAGGUGUGACUGUGAAGCAAGGGAUAUCUCUCUCUCCUAUAAAAGUCUAGAAGAACACAAGGGUACUUCAUAAACUUCAAGUAAUUGAAGUUCUGCUUUAUCUGCUUUUCAUUCCCUAAUGGACCUUCGUCCCCCAAAAGACUGAGAUGAGAUGGGUAUGUCCUGAUUAAUGCGGACUAUUUACCAUUUCUGCUGAUAAGCUGGGGGGAUGCAUUAAAUCUGCCUCAGCAAGUGGCAGUGAAGUUUCAAAUAGUAACGAGGACAGCUGCAUCUUCAUUGACUCCUGAAAGUCAAGUGUCUCUAAACCCUUUCUCAGCUUAUAAGACUGCUGAUGUGAUUCAUUUAGUUAUGAAACUGUAACAUCAAGGUUUUUUGCUGUCUUUUGUGUUGGUGGAAAUACUACUAGCUUUAGUUACGAUGACAUUCCAGGUAUUACUUUCUAUGGUUUUUGGACAGUAGUUCGUGUCAAGCCAGAGACAUAUUCUGAAUGAGCAGUAAAACAGCCCACAUCCUAGACUGGAAUUUGAAGUUAUAGAGGUAGACAAGUAGUUGAUAAUUACAUGAGGAAAUGAUGGAUCUGAGUGCUCAGCUUCCUCAGCUUUGUGCAUCUCAGACUUCAUGGAUCAGUACUGCAUGUUCUUGUUGUCUGAGAAAGAAACAGUAGUGAUUACUUGGAAUAUUGCAAGCCCUUUUUGUGCUUGUCAAGGUGGUUAUAGCUCAUUAUAUGUUUUUUGUUGUUGUUUUUUCCUGCAGUACUGAAAAACUGCAUGAAAUUUAGAUUUCAAAUGCACCUGAGCAUAAUCUCAAUUUGAAAGCAGAGGGGAAAGAAGUAGCUACUUUGCUCAUUUCUGCUUCAAAAUAGAGUAAAAGCGGGAUCAGAAAUGUAUAUAGUCCUCUGGUAGUGGACUGCCAAUAUAGUCUUUGCCAGCACCACAAUUCAGAAUGCCAGUCUCUCCUCCUUGUAAUUCCUCUGCUGCUAAAGAAUCAGUGGACCAGUAGCCACUACUCCCUUUCUUUUUUCCAUACCUUUAGCAGCAGUCUUGUAGUUUGCAGCUCUUGCCUGACCUUUUGUUCUUUAUGGUUUUUUUUUUGUUUGUUUUUUGUUUUUUGUUUGUUUUUUUUUUAACCCUCCUCCCAGCUGCAUUCAUUUCCUUAGUGGUCAGUGAACUUUCCCAGCCCCCUCUAACUACUUCCUUGUUUCUGCUGCUCUGACCAUGUUCAAUUUUACUCUCAAGGAAGACAACAGUUUCCUUGGGAGGACUUCUGCUGUUUCUACAGGACUGAGAAGCCUUGAAAUUAUCCCAAGCAGAGGUUUGUUUUUUCCUCCUCUGGAUGAUGGCUCUGUUCAUAUUAGAGAAACUGUAAUGUAAUUAGUGUUGCAAUUUCAGUGGUGCAAACUACCUUACUUGUAAAAAUAUGAAUGUACCUGCUUUAUUAUAUAUUUAUUCUAAUAAUUCAGAUAACUUAAUCUGACCAGUAAAAAUUUUACUGCUUGCUACUCUCUUUUGAAAUCCACCUUAGUGCCAUGUUCCUCAAAGAAAAGGUGAAGUACACUCCUGAUCAAAGAUCGUGAGUGCUACUGAACUGCCAACAUCUUGCAGAACUUACAUUGCCAGUCUGUGGGAAGGACAGAAAAAAAUCUUGGAAGCCGGCAAAAUUAUACUUCAGGACAAGAUCAUUCUAGUCUAUUACAAAAUACUGACUUGCUCUUACAUGAAUUUGGUAUCAAUUCCAAGUCUCAUUUUCUGUUCCCCUGAGGAUGCGCAAAACUGACUGGAAGAGUAACAUGAUCAUAUAACUACAUUCACUAAACAGAAUCUCUCAUUAAUCUUCGGAACAUUAAUUCUAAAAUAAAGCUGCAUAGCCCAUGCUGUCUGGAGACCAAUGCCAAUAGAAGGUUUCAUGAAGACUGGGUGCACUGAGAGUUAAAGAGUUAAUGCUCCAGAUCCAGGCACCUGUCGGAAGAGAAGAACAACUAUAUUCCCCAGAGUUGUGUUCAGACAGGAGAUAUAACCCCUGGCAAGAUGAGGGACAUCUCUUUUCAUCUGAAAGCUCAAGAAAACCAUGUUAUAAAUCUGGGUAUCCCAUGGCAAAAAUGGUUUGGCUGUGCCUAUUUUCCCUUUCCCAGGAUACUGCUACAAAUAAGUUUGAAAUAUUAAAACAAAAUUACUUUGGUUAUUUUAGUUUUAGAUAGUCACUUCCUUGUCCAGUGUUUUGCAUUUAUUUAGUAACUUACAAUAAGAAAUAAUGUAUUGUUCUGAGAUUAGACUGAUUUCUUAGCUAUGUAACUGAGGAGUUGUUGCAAGAACAUUUUCUGAGUCUAUGCUUUCAUUUCUGAAAAUAUAAAACGGUGUCAGAUAUAUAUAGAACUAUAAUGUCCUUAGUUUUAUUUUGCAUUUCACUCAUUCUUUUGAUAUGAAAAGCUGCUACAAUUCAUUAUCUUGGCAGAAGGAGUAUUGUAUAGAUGAAACAAGUUGUGAUUUGAGGUAGGCUAAAUCAGAAUGGAAAUAUUUUACUAAAGGAAAGCCUUCAAGCUGCAAAUAAAGAGUAAUUCUUCUAUUGAAAGGCUGUUGCCAAAAACAAUAACUUCUAUGGAGCCAUCAUGCCUUUGAUUUAGCAAAGCAAAGAACUGAGGUUUUGAGUCUGAGACAUUAACACAAUAUUUAACAAAGAUAAAUAAUUCUUUGGAUGAGAAGAAGCAUUUCUUGCUGCUUCACAGAUCAACAACUUAAACUUUUUCCAUGUACUUUAGUUUAUGAAUUUUAAAGAUAAUAAUCCUUAGGGGCCACAGUUUUCACAACUCUAGAUGUGUUGGCUGAAUUCUAUAAACCUGGAAAAUUUCAAACAAAAAGACAAUUGAUUCUUAUUUUUUGUAUGUAUAUUUAUAUAUUUGUAUGUAUAUAUAUACAUACAAAAAAAACCAUAUAUAUACACACAUACAUACAAAUAUAUAUAUACAACAACAGAACUGUUUUGAGAAUGGUGGGUGAAUAGUGCCAGUUCUUUGCCCUUAGGUUCUUAGUAUAAAAUGCAAACCCAAUCUUUGAAAUGUUUGUGAUACAUACAGCUAACAGAAUUAGCAUUGCAAUGCUAGAUCAUUUUUUUCUUGAAUACAGGAAAAGGUCAAAAUAAUUCUUUUUAUUGUAUUACUUGGUCUUUAAUGAAUAGAUAUUUCGUUCCUUUGAGGAUCUAGCCUUAUGCUUCGACAAGAAUUGAAACGUGAUGCACCAUUUACUGUCUGAGAUAAAUGUGAAAUACUUAACAUUUAAUUUGUAUUAAUUGAUACUAUGCCAACAGUAAGAAUAAAGUCACAUUCUUCCUUGAGAGAAUUGAGAAUGGUCUGUGCACUUUGAUGAAUUUGAGCUGUAUCUUUAUAAGUAGAAUAGGCUUAUGACUGUGACAGACAAUAUACAAUUUUUUGGCAACUCUGAUACACUGUUGGUUUUUCAUUGCUGCUUGUAACAUUACAAAGAAAAUAAGUUUGGAAGUUAUGUGAUGACUUUCUCCAUCCUAAUAAAUCUGUCCCACUGCAUUGUUUUUUAACUUUAUUUCUCUUUGGUAGUGGACUUAUUCUUGAAUGAGGUUUUGGGGAACUCUUUUUUUUUUUUUUUUUUUUUUUUU
ensembl:lncRNA